rnacentral:rRNA from 1 species
UACGAAGGGGGCGAGCGUUGUUCGGAAUUACUGGGUUUAAAGGGUGCGUAGGCGGCUGUGUAAGUCAGGAGUGAAAGUUUGCGGCUCAACCGUAAAAUUGCUUUUGAUACUGCACGGCUGGAAUCAGGAUGAGGUCAGCGGAAUGUGGCAUGUAGCGGUGAAAUGCAUAGAUAUGCCAUAGAACACCAAUUGCGAAGGCAGCUGGCUAGACCUGUAUUGACGCUGAGGCACGAAAGCGUGGGGAGCGAACAGG